rnacentral:rRNA from 1 species
GACGAACGCUGGCGGCGUGCUUAACACAUGCAAGUCGAACGGAAAGGCCUCUUUCGGGGGGUACUCGAGUGGCGAACGGGUGAGUAACACGUGAGUAACCUGCCCUUGACUUUGGGAUAACUUCAGGAAACUGGGGCUAAUACCGGAUAGGAGCUCCUGCUGCAUGGUGGGGGUUGGAAAGUUUCGGCGGUUGGGGAUGGACUCGCGGCUUAUCAGCUUGUUGGUGGGGUAGUGGCUUACCAAGGCUUUGACGGGUAGCCGGCCGGAGAGGGUGACCGGCCACAUUGGGACUGGGAUACGGCCCAGACUCCUACGGGAGGCAGCAGUGGGGAAUAUUGCACAAUGGGUGGAAGCCUGAUGCAGCAACGCCGUGUGCGGGAUGACGGACUUCGGGUUGUAAACCGCUUUCGCUCAUGACGAAGCUUUGUGUGACGGUAGUGGGUAAAGAAGCAACGGCUAACUACGUG